AUACGGAGGGUGCAAGCGUUAUCCGGAAUCAUUGGGUUUAAAGGGUCCGCAGGCGGUCUUAUAAGUCAGUGGUGAAAGCCUACAGCUCAACUGUAGAACUGCCAUUGAUACUGUAAGACUUGAAUUCGGUCGAAGUGGGCGGAAUAUGACAUGUAGCGGUGAAAUGCUUAGAUAUGUCAUAGAACACCGAUAGCGAAGGCAGCUCACUAGGCCUGGAUUGACGCUCAGGGACGAAAGCGUGGGGAGC
rnacentral:rRNA from 1 species